rnacentral:rRNA from 1 species
UUAAGAGGCGAUAGCACGUUGAGUGAGCCAGUUCCUAACAGAUCCCUGAAUUUAAGCAACGUGACGCCUGGUUGGUAUCUGGAUAGGCGACCGUCUAAAAUUCUUAGUUAUCGCUGGCU